CAGAAGGGUUGCAGGGGGCUUCUGACGAUGACGCUUGUUCCCUGGGGGGUGCUCUGCUGUCCGGGAUGGGGCCACCACGUGGUCAUUCCCGGGUAGAGUCAAGCACAAUUUCUUCCCCACGGGUGUGCCCAGGUCCAAGGACAGAGUAUGAUGCUGACACAGCCAGGAAAGGUUGACAUCUCUGUCAGCCCACUACCUGACCCUCUUCCCGGGAGCCUGCAGGCUCAGCGGCACUCCGGAAGUCCCGCUGCGCCGCAGGUGUCCGCGCGGGUCUCCUCGCGCAGCGACCCCCGCAGCUGCGCUCUUGGCCACAACAGCAGCUUUGGAAACGCGCGAGGAGGGAAGAGCAGCACCACCGAGGAGGCAGCGCCCGCCCGGAUACCGCGGCUGCGAGGCCCCGAACCAAGGCUGCCACCUGCGGCAUCGUGCCCCUCUGGGCCUACACUGUGUUUCUGGCAUUGUUAUGAAUAUCUUAAGUGCCUGCUUUGCUGCACUUGGUGCAGUUGCCUUAAUCAUUGCGUGUGCAAGUUUUCAGUCAGAAGAAGAUUACACUUGGACACAGGUUCCUCACUAUCAGAAUUCUCCAUCUC
rnacentral:lncRNA from 1 species